GGAUGUGAGGGUGAUCUGGCUGCGGCGUCUGUCAACCUAUUGAUCACCAGAGUUGAUUCGGCUGAUCUGGCUGGCUAGGCGGCGUCUGUCCCCUUCCUCCUUCACCACUCCAUGUGCGUUCGUCCGAAGCUGCGCGCUCGGUCAAAGAGGACGGCCUUCCCUGCAUAGAGACUGGCAGGUCUUCUGUCGAAGGCAUCCCAGUAGCUGUGCUCCCCUGCUAGAACCUCCAAACAAGCUCUCAAAAUUCUAAGAUUACAGUGGUAGGGCUAGGAAGACAGUAUAAUGGUUAUGCAAAAGACUCUCGGGCUUGAGACUCCAAGGCCCCAGG
ensembl:misc_RNA 7SK 7SK RNA